rnacentral:misc_RNA from 1 species
AGCAGCCGCGGUAAUUCCAGCUCCAAUAGCGUAUAUUAAAGUUGUUGCAGUUAAAAAGCUCGUAGUUGAAUUUCGGGAUCAGUUGAUCGGUCGUGCCUCGGUACGUACUGGUCAAAUUGAUUCCUACCUUCUGACGAACCACGAUGUCAUUAAUUUGGUGUCGCGGGAAAUCAGGACUGUUACUUUGAAAAAUUAGAGUGUUUAAAGCAGGCUCGCGCUUGAAUACAUUAGCAUGGAAUAAUGAAAUAGGACGUUUGAUUCUAUUUUGUUGGUUUUCUAGGAUCGACGUAAUGAUUAAUAGGGAUAGUUGGGGGCAUUAGUAUUCAAUUGUCAGAGGUGAAAUUCUUGGAUUUUAUUGAAGACUAACUACUGCGAAAGCAUUUGCCAAGGAUGUUUUCAUUAAUCAAGAACGAAAGUUAGGGGGAUCGAAGACGAUCAGAUACCGUCGUAGUCUUAACCAUAAACUAUGCCGACUAGGGAUCGGAUGAUGUUAAUUUUUAAUGUACUCAUUCGGCGCCUU